ensembl:lncRNA
CAGCCAUUCGCAUUGCAAACGUUUAACACCAGCUUGUCUACGCUGACCUGGUGACCUGUACUAGUCUCUGAUGAGGCCGGUGUGAGACUUCAAACUGGACUCAAUGUCCUACGACGUAAAGCGCAGUAACCUUACAUUUAUGUGAGAACAGUCCAGGAUGAAGUGGUUUAUUAUUACGCUAAAGGAUCCGGCACAGAAAAGGCUCCUCCGCUCAUCAGGUUGUGGGCUGCCGGCUACUCCUUCGCUGACCUGCUCAUUAUUCUGUGGCCUUAACUUGGCUCCGGUUGAGAUGCGGCCGGUAGUUAGCCGCCGGCUGGGGACACACCACGCAAAGCUCACGUUAGCGCAUCACCAAUGGCCGGUUUCCUGUCGGCCUUUGCAGCAAUAUUAUGCAGCGUACCUCUAAUGAGCCGAUGCACCACUCACGAUACCUGCACUUUUAUCCAAAUUGCCGUUCAUCCAUGUGGCCAUUGGAGGAGAUUCAUUUGUCAAACGAUGGAUGUCGUUGUCAUAAUGUCACCAAAAGGGGAUCGGUCGAGGCUCAGCGGAUCAGAUUGCAGAGAGCGAACGCUACCUGUUGAUCACAUCAGAAGAAUUGACACCUCGUCUUUCCACGAAGCCCACACUGCCACCAACUGCACCGACUGAAUAGAUAUUUUCUCAUAAAAGGGAUAUUGCAAUAUAUAUACGGAAGUGUCCACUGUUGAGGGAAAUAUCAGGAUGUCAAAGUGAUCCAGCAGCUACAAACAGCGCACGGAUGGAAACAACAGCGUCUCCAGAGCACAGCAUCUUUGUG